AUGCUAAAUGGGUUGAAUUCAUUGAGACUUUCCCUUAUGUCAUUAAACACAAGAAGGGUAAAGAAAAUGUUAUUGCUGAUGCAUUGUCUCGUCGUUAUACUAUGCUUUCACAACUUGACUUUAAAAUAUUUGGUUUGGAGACCAUCAAAGAUCAAUAUGUGCAUGAUGCUGAAUUUAAAGAUGUGUUGCAGAACUGUAAAGAAGGUAGAACAUGGAACAAGUUCGUCGUUAACGAUGGAUUUGUGUUUCGUGCUAACAAGCUAUGCAUUCCAGCUAGCUCCGUUCGUUUUGUUGUUGUUGCAGGAGGCGCAUGGAGGAGGACUAAUGGGACACUUUGGCGUGAAGAAGACGGAGGAUAUACUUGCUACACAUUUCUUUUGGCCAAAGAUGAGACGGGAUGUUGAGCGUUUUGUUGCUCGCUGCACUACAUGUCAAAAAGCUAAGUCACGACUCAAUCCUCAUGGUUUAUAUAUGCCUUUGCCUAUACCUAGUGUUCCUUGGGAGGAUAUAUCUAUGGACUUUGUUUUAGGUUUACCUCGAACAAACAAGGGGAGGGAUUGA
rnacentral:rRNA from 1 species